rnacentral:rRNA from 1 species
AUGGUUAAUGAAGGUAUUGUCUUGGGGCACAAAGUUUCUGAAAGAGAUAUUGAGGUUGAUAAAGCCAAGGUAGAUGCUAUUGAGAAGAUGCCAUGUCCCAAGGACAUCAAAGGUAUAAGAAGUUUCCUUGGUCACGCCGGAUUUUAUAGGAGGUUCAUUAAGGACUUCUCAAAAAUUUCUCGGCCUCUGACUAAUUUGUUACAAAAAUAUAUAUCAUUUGUCUUCGAUGAUGAUUGUGUAGAAGCAUUUGAAAUACUUAAGAAAGCAUUGAUCUCUGCACCUAUUGUUCAGCCACCUGAUUGGAAUUUACCCUUUGAAAUUAUGUGUGAUGCUAGUGGUUAUGUUGUAGGUGCUGUUCUAGGGCAAAGAGUUGAUAAGAAAUUAAACAUUAUUCAAUAUGCUAGUAAAACCCUAGACAAUGCUCAAAGAAAUUAUGCUACUACUGAAAAAGAAUUCUUAGCAGUUGUAUUUGCUUGUGAUAAGUUCAGACCUUAUAUUGUUGAUUCUAAAGUAACUAUUCGCACUGAUCAUGCUGCUAUUAAAUAUCUUAUGGAAAAGAAAGAUGCUAAACCUAGACUUAUUAGAUGGGUUCUCUUGCUACAAGAAUUUGAUUUACAUAUUGUUGAUAGAAAGGGAGCUGAAAACCCCGUUGCAGACAACUUAUCUAGGUUAGAAAAUGUGCUUGAUGACCCACUACCUAUUGAUGAUAGCUUUCCAGAUGAGCAAUUAAAUGUCAUAAAUGCUUCUCAUACUGCUCCAUGGUAUGCUGAUUUUGCUAAUUACAUUGUUGCCAAGUUCAUACCACCUAGUUUCACAUACCAGCAAAAGAAAAAGUUCUUCUAUGAUUUGAGGCAUUACUUUUGGGAUGACCCACAUCUUUAUAAAGAAGGGGUAGAUGGUGUUAUUAGAUGUUGUGUACCUGAGCAUGAAUAG